UGAACGCUAGCGGCGCGCUUAAUGCAUGCAAGUCGAGCGAUGAGGCCCUCUUCGGAGGGUACAUCAGCGGCAGACGGGUGAGUAACACGUAGGUGACCUGCCCUAAAGAUGGGGAUAACGGAUGGAAACAUGCGCUAAUACCCAAUGGUCCUGUAGAGUCAAAUCUAUAGGUAAAGCUUCGGCACUUUAGGAGGGGCCUGCGGCCCAUCAGCUAGUUGGUAGGGUAACGGCCUACCAAGGCAAAGACGGGUAGGGGGUGUGAGAGCAUGACCCCCCACAAUGGGACUGAGACACGGCCCAUACUCCUACGGGAGGCAGCAGCAGGGAAUAUUGCACAAUGGACGGAAGUCUGAUGCAGCGACGCCGCGUGGAUGAUGAAGGCCCUCGGGUCGUAAAAUCCUUUUCAGGGGGAAGAGGAAGGACGGUACCCUUGGAAUAAGCGUCGGCUAACUACGUGCCAGCAGCCGCGGUAAGACGUAGGACGCAAGCGUUAUCCGGAUUUACUGGGCGUAAAGCGUCUGUAGGCGGAUCGAUAAGUUGGGCGUGAAAGCUCCGUGCUUAACGCGGAGAGGUCGUUCAAGACUGUCGAACUAGAGGGCAUCAGAGGAGCAUGGAAUUUCCGGUGUAGCGGUAAAAUGCGCAGAUAUCGGAAGGAACACCAGUGGCGAAGGCGGUGCUCUGGGGUGUACCUGACGCUGAGAGACGAAAGCUAGGGGAGCGAACAGGAUUAGAGACCCUGGUAGUCCUAGCCCUAAACGAUGGAUGCUAGAUGUGGGGUCGAGAAGACUCUGUGUCGCAGUUAACGCGCUAAGCAUCCCGCCUGGGGAUUACGGCCGCAAGGCUAAAACUCAAACGAAUUGACGGGGCCCCGCACAAGCAGCGGAGCGUGUGGUUUAAUUCGAUGCUACACGAAGAACCUUACCUGGGUUUGACAUGUAGGUGGUAGAGAAGCGAAAGCGGAUCGACCCUUCGGGGAGCCUACACAGGUGCUGCAUGGCUGUCGUCAGCUCGCGCCGUGAGGUGUCGGGUUAAGUCCCGUAACGAGCGCAACCCUUGCCCUUAGUUACAAGUGUCUAAGGGGACUGCCGGCGGUAAGCCGGAGGAAGGUGGGGAUGACGUCAAGUCAGCAUGGCCCUUAUAUCCAGGGCUACACACACGCUACAAUGGUCAGUACAAAGGGCAGCGAAGCCGCGAGGUGAAGCGAAUCCCAACAAAGCUGAUCUAAGUUCGGAUUGCAGGCUGCAACUCGCCUGCAUGAAGCUGGAGUUGCUAGUAACCGCGCGUCAGCUAUAGUGCGGUGAUACGUUCCCGGGGCUUGUACACACCGCCCGUCACGUCAUGGGAGUCGGUAACGCCUGAAGCUGGGAGUCUGGCCCUCACNGGGGGGACCCCAUCUAAGGCGGGGCUGGCAACUGGGACGAAGUCGU
rnacentral:rRNA from 1 species